CUGGGCAGAGGGACAGAGAGCAGCUUCCUUGGGAGCGCAAGGGGAGGGUGUCGAUGGAUUCCCUCUUGUGCUGUGGAUGGGGACGGUAGAAGCUGCGUCCCUCUCAAGGCAAGCUUGUUUUUUGGUGACAUCGAAGUCAGAGAGGCAUAAUUUAAACCAUAGGGGAGGUGCGCUUCAUGAAGCGCCUUUUUAUUUUUUUUUUAUUUUCGUUUGCAAAUGUAAAUGCAGAAAGUAAUCGGUGGUGGGUGCAUAGCUGUCAACGUUUCCCUUUUUUAAAGGGAAAUUCCCUUAUUCCGAAUAGGAUUCCUCGCAAGAAAAGGGAAAAGUUGACAGCUAUGGGUGGGUGGCAAGAAUAUUUUGAAAAAUCUUACCGGCAAAGGAUAGUGAUUUGGUUGCCAGCCUUGCCACUUGCACAUCUGAGGUCAUUAUUCCUCUGAUUUUUAUUUUAUUUUAUUGCAUUUAUAUCACCCCUUUUCUCCGAGUUCAAGGUGACCUACAUGGUUCUUCAUUUAAUGCUCACAACCCUGUAAGGUAUCUUAGGCCACCCAGUGAGCUUCAUCGCCAAGUGGGGGUUUGAACCCCAGCCUCCCAGUCUGACACACUAACCACUGUGCCUCAUAGGCUCGCGACCUACAAGUCUACAAGUGGACUCUGGUCCCAGGCAGCCAAUAAAUCUGCUUGUCUUUAUGGUGCCUUAAUACACUUUUGGGAGCUGGUGGGGAGUCUGGACAUUCUUAGGUGCUUCUAGCCCAAGGUGUCUUCCUUGACAGGAAAGGCUGUGUAACAAAAGAACAAUUGAUGAUGAUGUUAGUUCCUGGAGAAUAAGCUGAGUUUUGAAAUUGUAUUUGUUUGUGAAAUAUCAAGGUGGUGUACAACAAUUUAUGCACAUAAAACGUAAAAAUACCAUAGAAACUGUACGAAGGAAUCAUUAAAAUGACUGGCUCAUCUUAAGAAAAUGUAAAGUGAAUAGGCCUGUCAGUAUAUAAAAGUCCUCAAGAGAUACCUGAAAGUCAGAAGUGAGGAUGGACAACAGAUAGUAAAAAACCUGGGGAACAAAUAACAACAUUCUCCUGUGAUGGAGCUAUGACGAGAAUCUAGAACCUGUGCAGGUAACAUAUGAGCGGCCAGUACAGAUGUUUUAGCAGAGGUGUCAGAUGCUGUUGGUUGUCUGCCCCAUCAGCAAGUCAUCACAUUCUUCAUUAGCUGGAGCUUCCAACUGAGGGUCAGGAGCAGCCCCACACAGAGUGCAGUGCAGUAAUCCACUGUUGAGGCUGCCAGUGCUUGGACUCCAGCGGUCAAGGUGGUCCAAUCCAUAUCCCAAUCAAAACUGUAGAAGCCAUGUCAAUAACUGAAUGCAUGAAACAGAGCAAAGGUGUACUUUUCUAGGGGUAGUUUUCACAAUGUGAUCGGAUGCGUAGGCUCUAGAUAUGGCGAGGUACUAGCUACAUGGAGAACAUCAUUAGUGCAUGAAUAGCUCAGUUGGUUAGCGCAUGGUGAUGAUAAUGCCAAGGUUGCAGGUUCGAUCCCCGUAUAGGUCAGUUGCAUAUUCCUCAGGGUCCCUUCCAACUCUACAAUUCUAUGAUCCUAUGUCAACAUCAGUGUACAUGAUGUGCAAGGUGGGGAGCAUGAGUUUGAGGAUCGAUUCCACAUAUGCUCCAGUGGUCAUGUGCAUGCUGUGAAAGAGCAGGCGCAUGUGUACCUCUCAUGCAUAAAAGAUAACAUGUUCUGAAGGUGGCAUGUCCCCACAUUCAGAAGCAGAGAGGAGCUUUUUAGGGAGUGAGACAUAAAAUCCAAAUAGUGCCCGUGUGGUUGUAAAUAUAUAACAGCGAGUUAGAUAACUAUCAAAACAAUGUGGUCUAAUAGUACCCCAAAAUGUGCUGCAGGAGAGAAGCCAGCUGCUGCCUAAUAGUACAACUAGCAUUGCCAUAUAUGGAGCCAGUGCAGAUGCUGGCUGUAAAUGUGAAGUGCUUUUGUGAGGACCUGCCACCCUCAGAAGCUCUGCAGCAGUUUGUACCAGCAGCGAAAGCUUUCAAACUGCCCCAUGUGUGAAUGUUAGUGUGACAGUACUUCAGAUUUCCAGUUCUGAAGGCAUGGAAGAUUUGUUUAUUUGUAAAAAAUAUUUAUAUAUAACAUUAAUGUUAAAAACAAGUUAAGAACAAAAAAAUUAACAACAAAUAUUAGUAACUCAUGGUGGAGGAUGUACUCUUAAUCUCCUGAAUAGGCCUGGCAGAAUAGAAAAGCUUUCGGCAGAUGUUUAAAAGUUGGCAUGGAAGGCGCCUGCCGAAUCUCUACUGGCAGAGUAUUCCACAGGACUGAGCCAAUGACAUGACAGGCUCAGUUUCUUGUUGCUGUCCAAAGAGCCACAUCAACUGGGGAAUGGCCAUAGGGAACAUUGUACCUCCUGUGUUUUUCAUAGCCUUGACAGGCAGAAGUGAGACCUCUAUGUUUGGGGAUAGCAACAUAUAUGCCUCUGAUGCUGUGGCUCAGGAGGAUAUAGAAUUGCUAUUUACUUCUAUUUCUGGAUAACCAAAGCCAGCAUUAGGUGGGAAUAUUUCAGAGGUCCAAAGCUAACAUUAUAUUGAAAUGUGUAAUAACUUUUCUCCUGAAGGCUCAGACCCAAAUGUUUUCUGGAUGCAAAGGUUUUUCUUACCAUGUUAACUUGGUGGACAGAGAGAGAGAGUGAGAUAAAUAUGGGCUUAAUUGUGGGCUUAUUUUUUUAACACGUUUAUUUUUUUUAAAUAAAAUUUAUACAGUGGUACCUCGGUUUACUCCUGCCAACCUAGCAGUUCGAAAGCACGUCAAAGUGCAAGUAGAUAAAUAGGUACCGCUCCGGCGGGAAGGUAAACGGCGUUUCGUGCACUGCUCUGGUUCGCCAGAAGCGGCUUAGUCAUGCUGGCCACAUGACCCGGAAGCUGUACGCUGGCUCCCUUGGCCAAUAAAGCGAGAUGAGCGCCGCAACCCCAGAGUCGGUCACAACUGGACCUAAUGGUCAGGGGUCCCUUUACCUUUACCUCGGUUUAAGAGCAGCCCUGUUUAUGAACUAUUCGGUUUACGAACUCUGCAAAACCGGAAGUAGUGUCCCGGUUUGCAAACUUUACCUUGGUCUAAGAACGGAAUCCAAAUGGUGGAAGGGCACCGGCGGCAGGAGGCCUCAUUAGGGAAAGCACACCUUGGUUUAAGAACGGUUUCGGUUUAAGAACGGACUUCCAGAACGGAUUAAGUUCGUAAACCGAGGUACCACUGUAUACCGCUUGGUUUUAAAAAAACACUCUCAAAGCAGUUUACAAAAGAGAAAACAGUAAAAUCAAGAAAAAAUUACAACCCUACUUUAAAACAUACAAAGUUAAAAUGCUAAAGCAGAUUAAAAUUACCUCAAGUUUGUAAGCAUCUGUUAUCCAUUCUGAGCUCUGAGGGUUGGGUGGGUUACAAAUCAGAUCAUAGAAUCAUAGAAUCAUAGAAUCAUAGAGUUGGAAGAGACCACAAGGGCCAUCGAGUCCAACCCCCUGCCAAGCAGGAAACACCAUCAGAGCACUCCUGACAUAUGGUUGUCAAGCCUCUGCUUAAAGACCUCCAAAGAAGGAGACUCCACCACACUCCUUGGCAGCAAAUUCCACUGUCGAACAGCUCUUACUGUCAGGAAGUUCUUCCUAAUGUUUAGGUGGAAUCUUCUUUCUUGUAGUUUGGAUCCAUUGCUCCGUGUCCGCUUCUCUGGAGCAGCAGAAAACAACCUUUCUCCCUCCUCUAUGUGACAUCCUUUUAUAUAUUUGAACAUGGCUAUCAUAUCACCCCUUAACCUCCUCUUCUCCAGGCUAAACAUGCCCAGCUCUCUUAGCCGUUCCUCAUAAGGCAUCGUUUCCAGGCCUUUGACCAUUUUGGUUGCCCUCCUCUGGACACGUUCCAGUUUGUCAAUGUCCUUCUUGAAGUGUGGUGCCCAGAACUGGACACAGUACUCCAGGUGAGGUCUGACCAGAGCAGAAUACAGUGGCACUAUUACUUCCCUUGAUCUAGAUGCUAUACUCCUAUUGAUGCAGCCCAGAAUUGCAUUGGCUUUUUUAGCUGCCGCGUCACACUGUUGGCUCAUGUGAAGUUUGUGGUCAACCAAGACUCCUAGAUCCUUUUCACAUGUACUGCUCUCAAGCCAGGUGUCCCCCAUCUUGUAUUUGUGCCUCUCAUUUUUUUGCCCAAGUGCAAUACUUUACAUUUCUCCUGUUAAAAUUCAUCUUGUUUGUUUUGGCCCAGUUCUCUAAUCUGUCAAGGUCGUUUUGAAGUGUGAUCCUGUCCUCUGGGGUGUUAGCCACCCCUCCCAAUUUGGUGUCAUCUGCAAAUUUGAUCAGGAUGCCCUUGAGUCCAUCACCCAAGUCGUUGAUAAAGAUGUUGAAUAAGACCGGGCCCAAGACAGAACCCUGUGGCACCCCACUAGUCACUCUUCUCCAGGAUGAAGAGGAACCAUUGAUGAGCACCCUUUGGGUUCGGUCAGUCAGCCAGUUACAAAUCCACUGAGUGGUAGUGUCAGGGAACUGCCAUCGGAAGGAAGGGAGGUAAAAGGACUCAGACAGGUUGGAAGAGACUCAGCAGCGGAAGAGGGAACCAGCAAGGGGAGAGAAGCUGAACUGAGGGAGGUGAAAGGGCUCAGACAGGUUGGAAGAGACUCAGCAGCUGAACUGAGGGAAAGGGAGCUGGGGGGAUGGCUCAGAGAUACUUCCAGCGAAAACAGUGGUGAGGUUUCCGGACCUCCUGUAGCGACACCCACUCCUCGCCGGAAACUGUCACGCAGAGAGUCCAGAAGACGUGUUUCCGUUAAGGAGCUUUUAUGUUGGAAGCGAUUACGAAAGCAACCACUGUCGGAAUCUUCUAGUGACUAGAGGAGCCAUGUCAGAGGGCUCAGUCACAGACAGAGGUUUGUGGACUUGAACAAACUCUGAGGGAAUACGAUUUUACGCACAAGCAGCUCAUAAUCCCAUCACAGCAUUCCGACAGUCUUUGAACGCAGCUUGUGCAGGAGAAGGCAUAAUGAGCAACCCAGCAGGAACCGGAGAAGCAGGGGCUGGAGCGGGUCCAAGCCUGGAAGAAAGGUACCGGGUGUUGGAGGUCCAGCUGGCGCUGCAGACGGCGAGGCUGGAGGAGAGGAGGGCUCAAGAUGCAGACAAUGGGAGAAAGCCACCCAGCUCGCCAGAAAGGUACCAGGAUUGGUGCAGAAAUUUGGGGGGGAGCCCAAGGACUAUCAUAGCUUUCGGACAGAAAUGCAAUAUGCCCUCAAUCUGCAGUUUGAUGAUUUCCCUGAUGAGGAAUCACGAGUGGCUUUUGUGAUUGGGCAUCUUGAAAGGGGGCGAGAGACUGGGUUAGACCCCUGAUGGCAGCGCAUAGUGACGUCCUAAAGGACACGAUGAAGUUCUUUCGCGCCAUGGAUCUGAUGUUUUCCAGCGAUAUUGAAAAGGGAGUGGUGCGCAGACAGUUAAUGGCUUGCAAACAGGGGAGCCGAUCUGUACGUGAGUACUGGACUGAGUUCACCAUGCUGAUACACAGAUUGGGGUGGGACUUAUCGGCGGAACCCAUUCAAAUGCUCUUUGAAGAAGGGCUUUCUUCGGCUGUGAAAGAUGAACUUUCCCGGGCGCCCAGGGCGGAGUCUAUGGACCAGCUGACCAAAUCAGCGCUGGCCAUAGGAGCGCGCCAGGAGGCGAGAGCAUUGGAGAGGCGGGAAGGGAAGGGGCACGUUGGAAGGAGUUCCGCAUUCCAGACAUUCCAGAGCCAACUGUCCCGCCGGCAGAGCCGAUGGAAAUCGGAACAGCGCGCGCGCUGCAGUUUCAAAGCCCAGUGAGGGGAAAGAAGGAUGGAAAAGGCGCCCGGAAAUGCUAUCUCUGCCAACAGCCAGGGCACUUUGCCAGAGUCUGCCCCCAGAGGAAGGAAUGGCAAGGGAUGGUGGGAGCUGUGGAGGGAAGAGAGGAAAAAUACCGGAGCAACUAAAAGCCAACGCCUGGCUGCCAUUGUCGGGGCACAGCAGCCAGGCCAAAGAGCAGUGAAAGUGCCCACUCCAGAACCUCCUAAACCCGCCCUAGUGAUAGAAGUGACACUAGAGCUGCCAAACGGACACCCUCUAAAGAUAAAGGCGCUGUUGGACUCAGGCAGCUCCUGCAAUUUCAUGAGCAAAGAGUUUGCAGCUGAACACCAGAUACAGACGCUCCCUUUAAGCAACCCCCUGCAGGUAACCACGAUCGAUGGCAGGGAGCUGUUGGGAGGAGAAGUCAGCUUGCAGACCGUCCCAAUGAUAAUGAAGGUGGCAAGACACACCGAACUAAUAGCAUUUAAUGUGGCCACCUUGGGAGGAGCUCCCAUUAUAUUGGGGAUGAGCUGGCUAGCGUUACAUGAUCCGCUGGUGGGCUGGCAUCAAAGAGUGGUUUCUUUUGGGUCAGCACAUUGCUUAGAACAUUGCAAAGAGGGAAGGUUUUGGCAGGGGCCCAAGCCACCCUAGCAGGGACUGAAGUGACGGAGAACGUGAACGUACCACGACAAUACGCAGAUCUCCGCGACGUCUUCAGCGAAAGGGAGCUGACCAACUACCACCGCAUAGAGCCUUUGACUGUCAAAUCAAUUUGCUCCCUGGGGCACAGCUCCCUGUGGGCAAGCUGUACGCCAUGUCAGACAGAGAGAUGCAGGAGCUAAGAGAGUUCAUUGACAAGAACCUGAAGAGAGGGUUCAUCAGAGAGUCCAGGGCGGUGGGGGGGGCAGCCCAGUGUUUUUGUGGACAAAAAAACACGAACAAGCCGAGACUGGUGUGUGACUUCAGGGCCUUAAAUGCAGUGUCAGAACCAGUGGCCUUCCCGAUGCCCAGGAUUGACGACAUUUUGACAAGGGUGCGGAAGGGAAAGAUUUUCACCAAGCUGGAUCUAAGGGGCGUACAACCUGAUACGAAUAAGGAAGGGGGAUGAAUGGAAAACCACCAUGUUCACCCCUUUAGGGGCAUUUGAAUACUUAGUUAUGCCCUUCGGUCUACAAGCAGGCUCCGCAACAUUUCAAUCGUUUAUGAACCACGUCCUGGGGCCGUUGCUUUACAAGAAUUGUGUGGCCUUCUUAGACGACGUGUUGGUGUAUUCUGAGAAUGAGGAGCAGCAUGUGAGAGACGUCAGAGAAGUGUUGAGCAGGCUGCAAGCCAGCCAGCUGUGGGUGAAACUGGAGAAGUGUCAGUUUCAUACCAAGGAGGUGGAAUUCCUGGGGUAUCGCCUGUCUGACAAGGGGUUGGCCAUGGAUCCCGGCAAGGUCCAGGCGGUACUGGAAUGGAAAACACCCAAAACAAGGAAGGAUGUGCAGAGGUUUUUGGGGUUUGGGAACUUCUAUCGUAAGUUCAUCCCAAACUUUGCCCACCUGACGGCGCCCAUUACGGACUGUCUCAGCAGUAAGAAGAAGUUCGUUUGGACGGAGGAGGCGGAGCAAGCAUUUGAGGAACUAAAAGGGCCUUCGCCUCGGAACAACAGCUCCUGCAUGUGGAUUUACAAAAACCGAUGAGAGUGGAAACUGACGCAUCAGACAGAGCGGUUGGGGCGGUGCUUCUCCAGCCAGGGAAGGAGGAGUCAGAGUGGAGACCGUGUGCUUUUUUUUCGCGCAAGCUGAACAAAUCCGAGAGGAACUACACGGUGUAUGACCGAGAACUACUAGCCAUUCAUGAGGCGUUCCGGAGAUGGAGGCACCUGCUAAUUGGCGCACAACAUAAGGUGCAAGUGUGCACUGACCACAAGAACCUAGAGUAUUGGAGGACGGCACGAGUGCUCAACCAACGGCAAGUGAGAUGGGCCCAGGAAUUCUCCAAAUUUAACUUUGAGAUUUGUUACGUGCCAGGCCCAGAGAACAUUAGGGCGGACGCUCUCUCACGCAAACCUGAAUAUUUGGAGGGGAGGAGCACCCGAAGAGAGACAUGUCAUUCCAGAGGACCGCUGGGUGUGUGGGGCGGCAUUGGUGGGACAAAGAGAACUGGUAGAAGAAACAGAGAAUGAUGAAUACGCCCAGAAUAAGCUUAGAGGUCUUAGGGAUGAGGGAGAGGAAUCAAGGGGUUUCGAGGAAAGAAAUGGAGCUUUGUAUUACAAAGGGGCACUGUAUAUCCCUGAAGGAGACUUAAGGGGAGGGUACUCAAGCAGUUGCAUGACAGCCCCACGGCGGGCAUUUUGGGCAACACAAAACCAUGUGGUUGGUCACCAGGGAAUUUUGGUGGCCUAAGGUGAGGAGGAUGUACGUGAGUAUGUAAGAGGGUGCGAGCAGUGCCAGCGAGCCAAAGGGAAAGGCGGGCGCCGGCGAGGCUAUUAGAACCCUUACCAACACCAGAACGACCUUGGGAGGCAGUGUCGAUAGAUUUUAUGACUGAUCUGCCGAAGUCCAAAGGGAAAACAGCCAUCAUGGUGGUGGUAGACCUACUAACAAAGAUGUGCCACUUUGUAGCUUGCUCGCAUGCAGUCACGGCGGAAGAGACAGCGAAGUUAUUUGUAGAACACAUUUUUAGGUUGCACGGGGUGCCAUUGUGGGUGGUCUCAGACCGAGGAAAACAAUUUACUUCCAGGUUCUGGAGGAAGCUCAUGAGCUUACUGCAGGUGGAGGUCAACUUUUCGACUGCCCGGCACCCUGAAACCAACGGGCAGGCGGAAAGAGCAAACGGUGUCCUCCAGCAAUACCUGAGGUGUUAUGUCAAUGACAGAGAGAAUGACUGGGUAGAAAAGUUGGCGCUGGCGGAAUUUGCCUACAACAAUGCCGAGAAUGUGUCCACAGGGAUGAGCCCCUUCUUGGCUAAUUAUGGGUGUCAUCCCAGGGCUUUCCCGGGGGAGAAGGGGAGAGAUGGAGCGUACCGGCAGCCGAGCAUUUUGUAGAAGAAAUGGAAGCAAUCCACCGUCAGCUCCAACUCAACUUAGAAAGGGCGAAGGAAGAAUACAAGAGGCAGGCAGACAAGAACCGAAGGGAAGGUGAAACCAUAAGGGUUGGAGAUAGGGUGUGGCUGUCAACCCGAGGGUUGCCGUUCAAAGGAGGUUGUAAGAAAUUAAGACCCAGGAGGUUGGGUCCCUUUGAGGUCAUUCAACAGGUCAACCCAGUGGCUUUCAGGCUCCGGUUACCCAACCACAUGAAACUGCACCCAGUAUUUCACAGGUCGUUACUGUCACCGUACGAGGGGACGAGAAGGGAUGGCCACUCGGGGACCGGUCAUAGAAGAAAGAGAAUGCAGCAGUCAUGUGGCAGAAAUCCUUGAUGCCAGGUGGAAGGGGAAUCAGGUGGAGUAUUUGGUAGCGUGGGAAGGAGAGCCGGAGUCAGAAAACACGUGGGUAAUGGCCAAAGAUAUCAAUGACGAGGUAUUGAUAGAAAUGUUCCAUCAAAGGUUCCCGCGGAAACCUCAGCCUGUGGAGAGGUUCCGGAGGGAAUACUUUGGGACCACUGAGGAGGAGGAGGAGUUGGAAGGAUUCCCAGAAUCGGAAGGGGAAGGGAGAUGGACUCGGAGGAGGAGGAGUGCUUGAGACCAGGAACCGCAACAGGUGGAGAGAAGUGUUCGAGACAUCGGAAGAUGAAGGAAGUUCAUUCCGGGGUUUUGCCUCCUCACCGCCCGUAGAGGAGAGGGCGAGAGGGGGUGAAGGGGGCCCUGGAGGGGAGGUGGAUGUCAGGGAACUGCCAUCGGAAGGAAGGGAGGUGAAAGGACUCAGACAGGUUGGAAGAGACUCAGCAGCGGAAGAGGGAACCAGCAAGGAGAGAAGCUGAACUGAGGGAGGUGAAAGGGCUCAGACAGGUUGGAAGAGACUCAGCAGCUGAAGAGGAAACCAGCAGGGGAGAGAAGCUGAACUGAGGGAAAGGGAGCUGGGGGAUGGCUCAGAGAUACUUCCAGCGAAAACAGUGGUGAGGUUUCCGGACCUCCUGUAGCGACACCCACUCCUCGCCGGAAACUGUCACGCAGAGAGUCCAGAAGACGUGUUUCCGUUAAGGAGCUUUUAUGUUGGAAGCGAUUACGAAAGCAACCACUGUCGGAAUCUUCUAGUGACUAGAGGAGCCAUGUCAGAGGGGCUCAGUCACAGACAGAGGUUUGUGGACUUGAACAAACUCUGAGGGAAUACGAUUUUACGCACAAGCAGCUCAUAAUCCCAUCACAGGUAGCAUAGUCAAGACCACAUUUUACCAGCUUCUUUACAAGAAUAUCAUGAGGCACCUUGUCAAAUGCCUUGCUGAAAUCAAGGUAGGCUACAUCCACUGCGUUCCCUUCAUCCACCAGGCUUGUAAUUCUGUCAAAAACGAGAUCAGGUUAGUCUGACAUGACUUAUUUUUCAGAAAUCCAUGCUGACUAUUGGUGAUCACAGCAUUCCUUUCUAGGUGCUCACAGACUGUUUGCUUAAUGAUCUGCUCCAGAAUCUUCCCUGGUAUUGAUGUCAGACUGACUGGGCGGUAAUUAUUUGGGUCCUCUCUUUUCCCCUUUUUGAAAAUAGGGACAACAUUUGCCCUCCUCCAGUCUGCCGGGACUUCGCCUGUUCUCCAGGAAUUCUCAAAGAUGACUGCCAGUGGUUCUGAGAUCACAUCUGCCAGUUCUUUUAAUACUCUUGGAUGCAGUUCAUCUGGCCCUGGAGACUUGAAUACAUCUAAACUAGCCAAGUAUUCUUGUACUAUCUCCUUAGUUAUUCUGGGCUGUGUUUCCUUUGCUGAAUCAUUUGCUCCAAAUUCUUCAGGUCGGGCAUUGUUUUCUUUAUCGGAGAAGACUGAGGCAAAGAAGGCAUUGAGGAGUUCAGCUCUUUCUGUGUCCCCUGUUUGCAUUUCACCAUCUUCUCCUCUGAGUGACCCCACUGUUUCUUUGUUCUUCCUUUUGCUACGGACAUACCCAUAAAAGCCUUUUUUGUUGCUUUUAACCUCUCUAGCAAGCCUGAGUUCAUUCUGUGCUUUAGCUUUUCUGACUUUGUGUCUACACGUGCUGGCUAUUUGUUUGAAUUCCUCUUUGGUGGUUUCCCCUUUUCCAUUUUUUGUACACAUCCUUUUUAAUCUUAACUCAGUUAAAAGUUCUUUAGAUAGCCACCCUGGCUUCUUUAGGCACCUUCCAUGUUUCCGUCUCAUUGGUAUUGCCUGACGUUGUGCUUUUAGUAUCUCCCUCUUAACAAACUCCCAGCCAUCAUGAACUCCCUUUCCUUUUAGUAUUACUGUCCAUGGGAUCUCACCCAGCACUUCCCUAAGUUUUAUGAAGUCAGCUUUCUUAAAGUCAAGAAAUUGAGUCCUAGUAUGCUUGGCUGCUCCUUUCCGCUGUAUAGUAAACUUCAGAAGAGCAUGAUCACUUGCGCCUAAUGAUCCUUCCACUUCUACCCCACUAACCAGGUCAUCAACAUUGGUUAGGACCAGAUCUAAAAUGGCUGUUCCUCUUGUUGCUUCUCCCACUUUCUGGACAAUGAAGUUGUCUGCAAGGCCAGUGAGGAAUCUGUUUGACCUUAUGCUCUUGGCUGAGUUUGACAUCCAACAAAUAUCCGGGUAAUUGAAGUCCCCAUUACUACUAUCUCCCUUCCUUUUGCAUGCUUGGCCAUCUGUUCCAGGAAGGCAUCAUCUAUGUCCUCCGUUUGGCUUGGGGAUCUAUAGUAAACUCCCACAAUGAGGUCACUGUUAUUCUUCUCUCCCUUAAUUUUGACCCAAAUGCUCUCACUUUGGCUUUGAGGUUCUAAAUCUUGGAUCUCUUCACAGGUAUACACAUCCCUGACAAAUAAGGAUAAAUAAGGAACAGUUCAGUGAAGCUUAAUAAUUUGCUUUCAAUCACUAACAGGAAUGAGUUUAGUAUCCUCUUGUCAUUACACCUUAAACAUGAAUCUAUAUGAGCAGUGGGAAAUCUGUCCUCCUGUUUUUCACGAUCCAUGAAUUCAUAGAUCUUUGAUUAGAUCCUGCCCCUGUCAAUGGUCCUCAAGUGUUUUUCUAGAAUUCACCUCCAGUGUAUAAUCUGAUUGUCUCCCGGCCCCCUUUGCUAAGAUUUUUAAUUAGUUUCUUUCUGCUGAUAUUGUUUGUGUCCUCCUGUCUAGGAAGAUCUCUUCAAACAACUUUGAUUUUAAAAAUCAAGCAUGACAUGAUCCCUUCUCUGUGGAUAGCUCCUUAUAUUCACCAUAGCAAAGCUGUUUUCUCUCUUGAGAAGCUGUGCUGUAGACCCCUAAAUAAGGGGAAGCUAUAUGAACUUCAAUUUACUCAUGAAAUUGCAAGCCCAAAUUCCCAGACAAUGCUGCAGGAUCUUUACUGAAAGAUGACUGGUUUAAAAACACACACACAACUUAUCUAUAAUUCCCUUCCUUCCCUAGAUUUCAACUAACUGGUAUUGUCUUUAAUUCAAAGUGUCAUCUCAUUUUGUUCAUCAAUGCCAUUUUUUUAUCCACCAACCUUUUCCUGGUAAUUAUGAACAUGUUUUGAAUAUCAAUUCCUGUGUUCUGUCAAUGGUUUCAAGGGCUAAAUAUAGAAUUGCAUUUUCAAUCUUUAGCUAUUCCCAUAUCUGUAGGAAACGUGCUACAGGUAAGAACUUUUCAAACAAAACUUUUUACAAGUGUCAGGUUCACACACACACAUACAGAGUUGUCAAAACACUGAAUUGAUCAUGCCAUAUGUGCACAAGGACAUUUUAAAACUUGCAAAAUUUGAUUUUCUCUUCAGCGUGUUUUGAAUGAGUGAAAAAAGAGAUGGAUGUGAGUCAACCUGGUUUUUUUCAGAUUUAGGCAUAUUUUUAGAAAUAAUAUUAGAAGGAUUCUCAGUCCUUUAUUUCAUUAAAUAUAUUUUUGAAUGAACCUAACACUUGCAAAAAAAAUUUUUUUGGGGUGGAGUCAUUGUAGCAAUGAGCUGGUUAUUAGGCUCAAAUAAGACAAAUCACCAUGGUUCAGAAAUCAAAAUCUGGUGGUGGGCUGAAAACUGUAUAAAUCCCCUCCCCUGUUACCAUUAGCAAUGCAUAGCGUAUCAUCUGCCCUAGUACUGACUACGGUUAAAAAUAAUCGGAAUGUAGAUCAGCUUCAAAUUCUGGUUCCAAACACUGAUUGAAUGUUAGUCCUAGUUAGAGGUGGAGGAAACUGUGGUCCUUCAGAUGUUGUUGGAUGCAGUCUCCCAUGAUUCCCAGCCAGCAUGGCCAACAGACAGGAAUGAUGGAAGAGGUAGUUCGGCAGCACCUAGAGGGCUAUAGGUUAAGCCACUCUUGCACUGCACCACAGUUUUGCUGAAAAGGAAACAAAGGGGGAAAACUUGCUUUGAAAGAUAAGCAGCUUUAGAUCUGCACUGGACAUUAAUGUAGGUCUGCCAUAUUUCAAACGGUGAAAACCUGGACAGAAAAGUUGUUGAACUUUUUUGGCAAUUUCCCAUUUUUAAAAAAGACUUUUUGGAGCUAUUUUAAAGGAAAAUCACCAAAAACGACACUGCCUACAUGGGUUACCGUACGUCUGGAUUUCCCCCAACAUUUUUUAGAUUUCUGCCCGGAUACUGCUUCCGGACGUUUGGCAACCCUACAUUAAUGGCAGUAUCCACAAUGCACUUCUCUGUGGGGUUGUGUGAAUGUAUGUGGAACGAAGAGCAUAUUGUUGCAGAAGCCACAGAAGUAUGGGGUCCUGAACAGGAGCCUCAUCGGGAAUAGGCAUUGUAGGGUACCUGCCAAGGCCCGCACCCCUGCAAGGGACCAAGCGCCAUUCUCUGGAGGCUUCUGGCCCUGAUCCUGCUCUUCCUGCCUGCUGCCACUGCCAGUUCGCCUGUCCUCUUCAGCCAAGCAAGCAAUGGCAAGAGUGAAGAAUGGAGCAACAUCUUCCACUAACCUGGUUCUCUUCACUUCCCCUGAGCACUUGGUUUAAUACAGUGUCCCUGUGUCCUUUUAACCAGCAGUAUUUUUUCAACACUACUGAGUUUUCCCCCCUUCUCCCCCUUGUUUCUCAUUUCCCUUUUCUUGGCUGUGUGCAGAUAAUGGGAGUAACAGGAAUGAGGGAGAAAAUGGUACACAUUUCAUUAGAAGCAAAAUCAAUUAUUACUUUUUGGAAGGGAAAAAAAAACCCCACUACCUGCUUUCAAUUAAGCAGGAAAUUAUCUAACCGAUUACUUAAUUUGCUCUGCCCAGCAAUCCCACAACUGCUUUAUGCUGAAUGAAGCAUGAAAUUAAAUAUGUAACAACUACCCUAAUGGUUAUGUUUUUGAGAAUGCUGCAUUUUGGAAGCAACGGUGCCGAUUCGCUACCAAAAAUAAUAAAAACAUAGAAAGAGAUGGUUGCUACAGCAAAGCAUUUGUUAUCUGAAAGAAUCUAUUUUGCUGCAGUUUAUUUCAAGUUUUAAUGCACAAUAAAGGAAUCUUAAUUUGGUAUGCAUCUGAACAUGGCAUCAUUUUCUCCUUUUCCUUAAUUUUUGAAGGAUCAUAUCCCCACCCCCACUGUAUCUGUCCAAUUAGAACUGUCAUUGCAGUGGAGGUGAUAAUAAUUGAAUACUGACAAUGGAAUUAUAUUUUUACAUGUUAGAACUCUUAUCUUAGAAAUUAGUUUUGUGGGGCUGGUACACCACAUCUCACCCUAGUGGUCCCCCCCCCCCCAGUGCUGUAUACUUGAAAAAUAAAAAUAUUUUUGGACUUGCUGAAAAAGAAAAAUUGUGAGUUGCUGUACAUCAUUCUAUUGCCAGUGUUCAGGUUGUGAGUGUCAUUGCGUAAGCAGUCAAAACAGCAAAACUCUCACACAAGGAGGUAUCAGCAGGUUUGAGGGGGAAAACCCAACUGCUCCCCAAAAAAGACUACAUUGCAAAAGGGGGAGGGAGUCAAAAGUUUAUACUGGGUGAUAUCCAACUUCUUCAGCUUGUCCACUAAUGCAAUGGGAUUUCCUCUAUCUCCUCCCCACUUCAUGACCUGCACCCUCCCUAAAUCUGUUUCGGAGGGUUGACAGAAACCCCAGAAUAUUUAGAGGGCUGGAGGGAUGGGAAGAAGAGGCAUGCAAGGCUGAGACACUGUUCAAAAGUCCUGCAGUGAGUUUCCUGGCUGAGCGGGGAAAUUGAAGCCUGGUCUCUCAGGUCAUAGUCCAACACUCAGACCACUGUUCCACACCGACUUAUGCAGGAAUGUUGUUCAUUUUUCUAGUGAUGACAUUUGGAAAAGCCUUGUUUCUUGCUUUCUUUAUAGUUUCUUUUCCGAGAUGUUACUUUUUCACAUCUCCUAGAGUCCUGGAGAGGUAGGAACUCAAAUUCACUUCUGUUUGUUGUAAAGGCAGCCUUAAAGGUUGGAACAAUGGACUGAGGAUUAGAGUUUAACAGGAGGAAUGAAUAGUAGACGCAUAAUGGUCCCAGGACAUGGUCUGAAGGAAUGUGGGGCUAUCAGGAACCAAGCAGAGGGCCUUCUUGGUAGUGGCGCCCGCCCUGUGUAACUCCUUCCCAUCAGAUGUCAAGGAAAUAAACAACUCUGACUUUUAGAAGACUUCUGAAGGCAGCCCUGUUUAGGGAAGGUUUUAAUGUUUGAUCUUUUGUUGUGUUUUUAAUAUCCUGUUGGGAGCUGUCCAGAGUGGCUGGGGAAACCCAGCCAGAUGGCCAGGGUAUAAAUAAACAACUGUUGUUGUUGUUGUUGUUGUUAUCACCUUGCUGAAGCUAUGCAGGUCUGGAUAUAGCCAGUGUGCUAGAUGACAAAUCACAUGGAAACCACAUGUGUUGGGCUUCCAAGACAGUAGAAAUGUGAGAUAUUAAUGUGUGUUUUUUUUAAAAAAAAACAAACCAAAACACUUGUGAUUUUCAAGGGUAGUUAGCAUGCAUCAAAGUUCUUAGGUUUUGUAUCAGACACAUAUGAAAGGAGUUGGGUCUUUCAUAGAUUCAAGUAAGAACUUAAAAGGGAUUUAAUGUUGCAUAAGGCAGUAAUUCCCAGCUGUUUUGGUAAGGAGCAAACUGUCAAUGGAAUCUUGUCUUUGGAGUAGCUGGCUCAUCUACUGGCAGGCAGCAAUGACCCUGCUACCUUUGGCUGGAGGAACAUCGCUAGGAGCAAUCUUGGCUGGUCUGCCUGAAGCCACCGAGAAACACAACUGCUGGCUGUCAGUGGACACAGUCUUCCAUUUUAGGGUGAUGGUGUUUCAGUGGCUUUCGCAGACAGAACCACUGGCGCCACUGUCAGAGUAAACAAAUAGCAGAAUUCAUGUCGUUUCAUUACCAGUGCAAGAAGAGAGCAAGUCUAAGAAGUAUUAUGUGUAGUCGGCUAUGGGGCCAUUGGAUUUGAUUUUUUUUUUAAAUCUAAAUGUUAUGAACCUCAUAUCAUGCUCUAUUUACAUAAAAUAUUUAUAUAUCAAGGCAGACAAUUUCACAAUUUUGAAAGGUAUUAUCCUGCUGGAUUAAUCUUUUCAUAUGCUAACCACAUUACAAGUAAACAUUUUCGUAGUCUCCUCUGCCUGAAUGUGGCUAAAAGCUUCCUUGUUAUUUUAUAGUUGCAGCAUUUCAAAUGUUUCCCUCUCCUCUCUCUCUCUCUCUUUUUACAUGGUUAGGCACCAUGCCAGCUUUACUGCUAAAUUACAGCAGAGAAAAAUGCUCAGAAGAAUUUGAUUAGAUUUCUUCCUUCUCCCCAUGAGCAAGCAAGACAAGACAAAUUGGUGUUGGUAAAAAUACAAGAACGAUUGUUAAGAACAGCACGCAGAUUACGGAUUUUCCCCUUUGUAAUGUUAUAAAUAAAUGCAACCAUUUGUAAUUGUAAUUACCCCUUAUUGAAGAAGAAAAAAACCACAGAGCUAGACAAACGUUAGCGUAUAAGGGGCUGUAUAAUUGAG